UGAUCACCGUAGUUAAGCAACGUCGAGUCUGGUCAGUACCUAGAUGGGUGACCUCUUGGGAAUACCAGGUAUGGUA